CCUACGGGUGGCUGCAGUAGGGAAUAUUGGACAAUGGGGGCAACCCUGAUCCAGCCAUGCCGCGUGAGUGAAGAAGGCCCUCGGGUUGUAAAGCUCUUUUGUCCGGAAAGAAAAGCAAUCGGUUAAUACCCGGUUGUUCUGACGGUACCGGAAGAAUAAGCACCGGCUAACUUCGUGCCAGCAGCCGCGGUAAUACGAAGGGUGCAAGCGUUACUCGGAAUUACUGGGCGUAAAGCGUGCGUAGGUGGUUCGUUAAGUCUGAUGUGAAAGCCCUG
rnacentral:rRNA from 1 species